UCAGCUUAGACUGCCUCAUCAUAGCCGGUCGGCGUUCUUCGUACAACAUAAGUCGCCAGCGGGUCAUCUCUAUCGCAGCGGCGUUCUUCGUACAGCAGAGGUUGUUGCCGCCGGGUCGUCUCCAUCGCAGCGACUUUCUUCGUACAACAGAGGGUGUCGCCGGCUCAUCUCCUUCGCAGCACGCAGUCCGCAAGUCUCCAAGGUCAGAGGCCAUUCUUCUUUAAGGUCGCCGGUCGUUCUUCUGGUACUUUCUAUUUGGAAUAAAUUGUUUGCUUGCAGGCUCUGCUACAUUCUUCUUUUCCUACAUGGGUUUUGAUAUUAUUGCCACACUUUUAAGGAGAUACUAGAUACAAAUCCACAGCUCUUUUUUCACCUCCAACAGCAAAGGUUGACAGAACUGAUAUGGCAUCACAAAGUGGAAGAUGCUUUAGAGUUUGCUCAUGAAGAACUUGCUCCAAGACUGGACAAUGAUAUUGCUGGCGUUUGAAGAUGUUGAGAACUGCCCUCUUAGAGAGCUUGUAGAUAUGUCACAGCGUCUCAAGACAACAAGUGAGGUCAAUGCUUCAAAAUUCUCAUUAGUCAAAGCCAUGAGAAAGGUCCAUCUUUCAUCCAUCAAAGAGCAUCACAAAAAGGACUAUGCUAUAGACUGUGUAUUAGUAUAUUUGGUACCAUUUUUAAUGAUGUAAAACUUUACAAUUUUUUACUUUUAUUUUUGUUAUUG